AUUGUACUUUGAGGAUUUAAUAAAAGAAAAUAAAAAAGCUUCAGUUUAAUAUCUGAUGCAUCCCUUAUCUGGGAACCAUAUAUUAAAUUGAUUUUUGGAACUUGGAGAUGGAAGAGGGGCUUGCUCCGUCCACUCCCUGCAUCGACCUGGUAUUGCAGUACCUCCAGGAACGGUGCACUCCCC